rnacentral:lncRNA from 1 species
GAUUCAACAAUACUUUAUUUUUUAUGAAUUAAAUGAACACUUGACUUUUCUUUGAUGAAGAGUGCAAGUUUCUUUCAUGUCAUGAAUUGCAAAUUUCUUAAUUUGGCAAAACAAAAAAUAACAGCAUUAAAUGCUAAAAUACUGAUACAGAGGUUAAAUAACAAUUAUUUGAGUUGUUCUAACCAUAACUUAGAGACACAAAAUUUAUAUUCUCUUAACGCUGAAUAUAUUUCAAUGAAUUUUAAGUAAAGUCUCAAUCAAAAAGAUAUUUGUAAUGGUUUUAAUAGUUUUGGAGUAAACACUAUAUUGUGUUAUUACAUGUAAGUGCAUAAACUUUAAAAAAAAUGGGAUAAAGAAAGGGAAUAAAUUGAGGGAAUUCCAUCUGAUAUAGAUCUAUUUUUAGAUAACAAGUCUGACAUUUCUCAAUUUACAAAUAUUUCUCUUUUUCAAGAAUUGAAGUAAUUGUUUUUUUAACAUCAAAUUUUUAAUUAAUAAUCAACACUGAAUGUCACUUAUCAUUUAGAGAUCACAUUGAAAUUUGAAAACUUCUGAAAUAAAAUAUGUGUUCUUACUUGAAUCAAGAUAUACAAAAAGAGAAAUUAUACAAUGCUUAUAAAGUUUGAAACAAGUCUGAGACUUGUGACUAAAAAUUAAAAUGUCCACAUUGUAUUUGUUUUUUGGACAGGAUCUUUAAAAAACAGCUUGUUAUUGAAGUAUACUGCAAAUCAUUAUGGGAGUAACAAAACAAAGUAUAAAAAUAAGAAAGAAUAAUAAAUAAACAGAAACAUAACACAAAUUACUGUAACUAUAGCACCUUUGGUUAGGAGAAAACUUUUAGUUUUCCCUUUGAUUAUAGUCUUUUACAACAAUAUAACAAAACAUUUACACAUCCAUGAUUGUAACGACACAUAUAUGAUUUGAUUAUUUACAAUAUUUUGAAAGCCCUUUUCAAUCAUAUUAUCUAUGGUUCACAACAUUACUAAACAAAUGCAAAAGCUACAAUGAGCACAUAUAUCUAGUGUCCAUAUUAUCAGUUUCAGAAAUAAUCUUUACUUUCCAAAAAACAGUUACUUCCCUUUCUAUAAGAGAAAUCUUGAAAUUUAUAAAAUUUAUAGAAACAGAUAAAACUCUUCGGUUUAACAUCUUUGGCUUACAACAAACUAAAAAAACGAAAAUUGCAAAAGAUGUAAAAUAAAGCUACCUGAUGUUUGGCAAAUAAACAAAAAUUCAUAAUACUACUGUGUUUGUCUCACUUUUGUCAGAAAAGUAUUUGUUUUUAUCAAACUGUUUACCUGUAUAAUUUUGUUUUUUAUGAAAAUUACUCUUUUCGUAAUUUUCUUCUUUCAAGUUGGAAUAUUUCAGAAAGGAUGAAAAUAAAAAAAGAUGACACGAUUUGUUACCCCUAUUGUUGGUACUGGAAUUCUAAUCAAAACAGUUUCUAGUGAGACAAACAGUAGUAAAAGAAAAUAAUUUGGGAUUCAAAUAGGUGAAAAAAGAAAGAAAAAAUCAGGUCAUUCAAAAUAAAUGUUCUGUUUUGCAGCCAUUCUUCUUAAAAAAUUAAAAUCUUAUCUUAUUUAUCAGUUACUUCCCUUUUUGAAGUAUCAACAGAUAUUCUGCUUUAAAAUCUAAAACAGAUAACAAUUUUCUCUUUCUUACUGUUACUUUGUCUCUAAUGCAUCAAAUCUAUAAUCCAAAUAAAAUAAGUUAUAAUAGACAGAAAGGUGUCUUUUUGUUAAUUCUUUUUUGAAAUUAAAUUCUUAAAUUGAAAGUUGCACACAGAAAAUUAAUGAAGCAGGUUCUGUAAAAUUAGCUUCUUAAAUUUUGACAGCAACUUGAAACGGCAUGUUGCCAAUGGUCUGAUAGAAAUUUUGCUUUGCAUAAAGUCUACUACAGACCCUAGAAGUAUUAGAAAGGGUAAUCUUUACACACAGAGAGUUACGAACUCCCACAGAUAAGAAAUUGAAAACGGAACAUUUAUUUGAAUGAUCUUCAGUGCUAUUGGAAUAAAACUUUCACAACAACCAAGGAAUUUUUUUUUUUUUUUAAUUCAAAACUUGUCAACUAAUAUUUUACAAAAAAAAAGAAAUGUGAAAACCACUGUUUCUAAAAAGCUUCAAAGGAAUGCAAGUGUGGAAUUUAUAAAAGGUUAAUAAUUGGAUAAUGGUAUGUACUACACAUUUGUAUGCAUUGUUCUCAGUUUACUUCUGAAAAAUAUGUAUGCGUACCUUGGUUGUAAUUGUUGUUCACAAUAAUACAGCUUACAUAUGACUUAAGUGAUCAGAUUUUUUAGAAGAUGAAAACUGAAUCCCAUAAUCAUGAUAAUGCAAUUGGUUGUCAUUUCAUCACAUGUUAUGCAUGAAAAGAAAGAUACUAUUUGUUUUAAAGUCUCACACUUUCUGUAUUAAUCAAUGGUAUUUUCUACAGAUCUCCUGACAGUAAUAACACAUGGAACAAUGAUAUACAACAAAAUCUAUAUACUGGUCAAAUCUUGAGCUUCGUAGGCUUAUCACAGAUAGACAGAGGUCAAAUGUCACAUGGUAAAUCCACCUCUGGAAUACACAUAAUUUAAUAUGCACCAAUUUUCAGUCAGUCCACAAGUAUACACAUAAAUCUAAAGCUAUGCUCGGCAAUUAUGGUUACGGCACCUUGCUUAAUGGCAACUAUAAAUAAUGUUGACAAAUAGAACCGGAUUAUUAUGACUGGUUUUGGUACCAACCAUUUAGCCAUUAUCAGCUACGGUAUGGUUCAGCACCAACUGUUACACCGUGUCCACUACGACCACAUGUCAUAUUGGUCACUUCUGUCCAUUCAUUUUUAUCGGGAUCAAAACAUUCUACGGUAGAUAAAAAGUCAUUACCAUCAUAACCUCCUGCAAAAAAAAUAAUGAGACACAUUAAAAAUUGAUGAAAAAUC